GCGGGGGCCACAUGGGGCCAGUUUAUUGCAGUUAAAUACCUCUCUCUCUAUUUUUUUUUUGUCAAUUUUUCCAUAAAGAAAAUUAAAACACACACACACACCCCCAAAGGGGAGCAGGGACCCAGAAACAAGAGGUGGGGUGGGACGUGGCCUCCCUGCAUAGGUCCAGGCCCCGGGUGGCCCCCCAAAGGCUCCCCUCCUUCCCAUCAGCACCCUGUCUCAGUACCUCCAGAGAGCAGGAGGCAGCGGGACGUGGCAGGGCCUCUGUCCCCUCCCUCUUGCCUCCAGGUGAGACCACUAGAAGUGCCGGGGCUUAGUGAGGGCCGGGAGAAGGGCGACAGACAGACGGAUGGGCAGGGAGGAUACCGUUUCCAAGUGGAGGAGGGCGGUGGGCACUGUAUCCACAGAAAUGCAUUAUUUCUCCCCGUUUUUUGUUAAAAAUCUACUAUAAAAAAACGCAGCUGGGGGAGGGGCAUGUGUCCCUCUCUGUGCUAAGGGCUGGGGAAGGGGGCAGCAGAGGCCGGCGUGGGCGGCGGCGGCUGCGUGGUGGUGGCGGGCGUCACUGCCGGGUGCCCUCGCCCACCAUCUCCAGGUUGUGCUGCUGCAGCUGGGCUCGAAGCAGGGCGUUCUCAUUCUUCAGCUCCUCGAUCUGCUGCCUCAGGAGCUCGUUGUCCAUCUGCAGCCGCUCGGCCUCUUUGAAGGUCUCCUGCAUGCGCUGGUUGGUCUGGCGCAACUCCCGGAUGUAAUCGCAGGCCUUGGACAGGAUCCCUCCUUUACUCGCUCCCGUCUUGCUGUUGUCUGCGUUACAGUCUGGAAUGAUUUUCGAAAGCUGGACGAUCCAGUUGUUGAUCUUGUCCCUCCGCCUCCGCUCCACUUCGUUGUGCUGGGCUCUUCUCCUCUCAUCUCGGGGUGUUCUGGUUCCAUCAAUUUUUGGAGAGUAAGGGUGUGUCCGGGGGGCGAUCGUCCUCUGUGUUCCUGUCUGAAGCACAUCCUGGGGCGUCAUCAUGACGUAGAACUGGCCUCCAGCCUGCAAGCUCUGGUCUGUGGUCUGUACGGACACAGCCGUAGUAUCUCCCACACUGGACGCUGGGAAAUAGGCAAAUCGUGCCUCCCCGCUGACAGCCUCGGCCGCCGGACUGCCACCAUUGCUGAAGGGAUUUUGGAUCACAGCCUGUCCUCCAUUUGUCUCUGUGCGGAACUGGUACUGGAUGUUGUGGUCGCCGAACGCCGCCUGCUGGACGCUGGUGAUGGCCACCGCUGUCUGCUCCUCCGCUCCUGGGCCGUCCCCGCCUUCCUGCAGCUCGACGCCCUCCUCCGCCUCGGGUCCCUUGUCGUGGCUGGCGGCGGCAGCAGCGGUGGCCGAGGCAGCGGGAUCCAGACCCGGGUCCAGCAUGUCCAUGGGGGGGGCGGGGGCGGGGGGGGCGCGGGGCCCGGGGGGGAGGGGAGGGGAGGGGAGGGAGGGAGGGGAGGGGGCGGGCGGCCGGGGGGGCCCCGAGCCCGGCGCUCACGCCGCGCGGCAGGAG
rnacentral:lncRNA from 1 species